rnacentral:rRNA from 1 species
AGAGUUUGAUCCUGGCUCAGAUUGAACGCUGGCGGCAGGCCUAACACAUGCAAGUGGAACGGUAACAGGAAGCAGCUUGCUGCUUUGCUGACGAGUGGCGGACGGGUGAGUAAUGUCUGGGAAACUGCCUGAUGGAGGGGGAUAACUACUGGAAACGGUAGCUAAUACCGCAUAACGUCGCAAGACCAAAGAGGGGGACCUUCGGGCCUCUUGCCAUCGGAUGUGCCCAGAUGGGAUUAGCUAGUAGGUGGGGUAACGGCUCACCUAGGCGACGAUCCCUAGCUGGUCUGAGAGGAUGACCAGCCACACUGGAACUGAGACACGGUCCAGACUCCUACGGGAGGCAGCAGUGGGGAAUAUUGCACAAUGGGCGCAAGCCUGAUGCAGCCAUGCCGCGUGUAGGAAGAAGGCCUUCGGGUUGUAAAGUACUUUCAGCGGGGAGGAAGGGAGUAAAGUUAAUACCUUUGCUCAUUGACGUUACCCGCAGAAGAACACCGGCUAACUCCGUGCCAGCAGCCGCGGU